CAAGAAAUAGAGAUGGUGUUUCUAGUCAGUUUCAGGCAGGUAACCCUUGGACAGAGCAGCUGCUGGCAGGGACCAGGGAAGCAAGAGGGAGCUCCUGGGGCUGGCUGCUAGGACUUGCUGACUGGAGGCCCUGAGAAGAGGGUGAAUAAGGUGCCAGGGCCGUGGGAAAGUGGUCCUGGGAAUUGAAGCAGUAUUGGCAGAGAAGUUAAGGAGAGGCAGCAGGAGGCUGCCAUCUACAGGGAGAAAACAUAGAUGGUGACACAGCUGGAGGCCAAGUCAUGAAAAGGAUAUUGCGGUUCUGGUGCUGAGAUGGGUCUGCAUGCGGAGAAGGCAGUGGGAGAGGCACCACCAGGAGAGGGCAAGAUAGCUCAUCCGUAAGAUGGCCAGCAGGAGGCACCGCUCUGUGGAAGUUGAAGGUGUUCAGUACCUCCCAGGAUCAAGUCCAAAGAGAAAACUGCCAGUUGUAGCCUGGACUAUAAAAUCACCAUAGCAACAACAAACCAUCGGUCCACAAAAAGCUAUCUUGAAGAAACCUGUCCUAAUAAAAUUACUGUGUUUGUGGAGGCAAUUUCAUAAGUUUUCCACAGGAUUGUUGGUGCAAAGCAGUCCAGUACAUAAAGCAGAAACGAAGGGGAAAAAAAUCAGAGGGCUGCAUGGCUUAAGCGCUAAGCUUUCACUUCUGAGAUCAGAGUUUAAUUUUAAAAUAAAAUCAUAUGCAAAACAAACUAGGUGGUCCCCUUUCAGUCCCUGCUGGCUAGGACGCCACAUUAUAAAACUAUCCCACAGAAUCUGACGUAGUUAGCAGUCACUUCCCAAGAGAGACCCAAAUCUGAUUUGUUAGCAGCAGAAUUAUCUCUUAAGUGAGAGGUUAGCAGCAAAGGAAAUCUUGCAUUGCAAUCAAAUGUAUCCGGGCGGUGAAAAACCCUCUCUGUGCACAAAAUGCAGGCUCAAUCUCUGACCUUACAUAAGCUCAACCACUUGCCCAAAUUUUAACAUAGCCUUCCUUUCAUAAAUUACCAUGUUAAGACUCCUAUGUGUGCAAUGUACUGUAAUAGCAUCUGGAAAAUCUUAGGUACAGUAAGGUGCACAGAU